AGUUCAGAUUUUGUGUGUUGUGUGUGGAAGGGGAGACUUCCCUUCUUUCUCUGUGUUAAAAGGGGUCAGAAGCCCACCAUGGAGGAGAGUAAUGCGGUAUGGGCAGCUUAUUUAAUGCCCCUUUAGUUCCUGGGACCAAAUUCUAACCUUUGACUUGGGGGUGGGACCCUAAAUUUUUGACCAAAGUCCACAAAAGGCAGCAAGGAACGAAGAAGUAAGCAAGACUAAAGACAACACGUCAUAGUAAACCACCAACAAAAAUUCCUGGGGACAGGAAAUCAAUGGAGAACAAUUCAAAACAAAUUGGUUUAGUCCCAAGCUAAUUAACUUGUCAAGCAGAUCUCCAAACCCACUGAAUCCAGGGGGGAAAGAGGUGAUGUAAUAGGAGAUUUGGGAACAUUUACCCAUUUACCAUCCUAAAAGGCUCAGCCACGACCACACACACCUCUCUCCACUCCUUUCAGUGGGUUUAAGCUGGGCUUAAUGGGUGCAAAGGACAAUUUCUUCCAGACAGUCCCUAAGAAUAGACUGUUCUCAUGCAUUCCAAAUGCUCAGUCUCCAUGGAGGAGGCUACCUGGUCACAAACAUUUCUCAAGAGGGAAUAUAUCCUCAACACCUCUUCAUUGGUAACACCCCCACCCCAAUAGAACAAAACAAUUUCUAACCAUCCUGAGAACUUCGGGGCACUUUUUUUUGGAGGGGGGAAGAAAAGAAAUCUUAAGAGGGGAGUAGGAGAGUGUGAGAAACUCCUCUUGUCUCCAAAUGGAAAAAAGGCCUUAAAAAGCUGGAUCAAAGGAAGAAAGGGGGAUGGGGGAGAGAGGCUGCUUAAUUACAAAGACACCCUUUUAAAGAAGGCGCGGGCCCUGGGAGAGGGCUCUUAGGAGAGGCACAGAAGCAGAUGUACCCACUUAGAAUUCUGGCACUCAAUGGGACCUCAAGGUCAUAGCAUCCAUCCCUCUGCUUUCUGAAUAGACUGUUCUUAAGGCAUUCUAGAAAGAGACUGAUUCGUUCUUUACAAAACUUCAGAAAAAGCAACCACACAAAAUGCUUGGGGAGGGUUCAUUAGUCUAUAAAUCCUAUUUCAUAAACCAGAAAUGAGAUUUCAAUUUCCAAGUCCAAAAGAGUAUUGAAUGUGAACUUUAAAAUUCCCUUCGAAAAUCUUUUAAAUAGGUAAACAGAGCCGCAAUUUCUCACGUAAAAGUUACUCUCUAUAUAAGUAUGGUCAGAGGUUUACUUCGUAUCUUGUCUAUGAAGUAAGAAAAAGCACUUUCAAUUUUACGGAGCCACAGACUUUUCCAAAGAAAGAAGUAUCUUAAAAUGAGGUAUGAGGUAGUGCCAGAAAGUGUCUGCAAAUGACACCGGAUAAACCCAUACAGAAUAGCUGGAACCUGAGUUAUCAUCUGUAAAUAGAUGCAACUACUCUACAACCACCUGGCUAUUAAAAUGUCCCAGGCCAGUUAUAAAAUCUAGUUUGGUCAGGCCAACUUUUCCUUCCCAGCCGAUCUGAAAUAUGAUAGCCUUUAAAAUUGUCACCCUGUAGCAUUCCUUCACUCCUUCCUGCUUUCUUUUUCCCCAUUAAAAUCAACCAACAAAAUUAGGUAAAAAUAUAAGUAAAUAAUGUGUUCCCAAAUAAGCAAUGCGUUGAGGACCUCUUGGUAAUAGGUCUUCAAGCACCACCAUUCUUAUGAGUUUGCCAUGCUUACUCAAUAGGAGGUAGAUGGGAGAUGGGUAAAGAUUUAUCCCACUUCCAAAAUGGUAUUUCAAACUAUUCUUAGCUACUAAAUGAGGGUGCUGAAAGGUCUAACUGAGAAAGCUUCACAAAGGCUGUCCUGAGAAAGGACUUUUCACAAAGCCUAGUUCAAGGAGACUUAAAUACCCUGAGCCCUCCAUUAUUGAAGAUUAUGGUGACUAAUUAUCUUCCUUUCUGAAUGGGAGAAGAGGGUUAUAUUUUUAAAAGUUUUAAUUUGCCUCCCAACUUCCACUCUUUAUGGGGGUGGGGGAGGAGAGGGAGGAGGAAGGAAAACUAAAUUAGACACUCCAAGGUGUCAGAAAAUUCUUUCCAAAAUUCAUGCUAGAGAUUGGAAUGCUGUUUCUCACAAACUGUCCCUUCCCUCUCUCAUUUAAUUGUAUUUAGUCCCUUGCUGCAAAUUAUUAUUAUAUUAUUAUUAGCGGCAAUUUACCAGGGAAAUUUACCAAUUUUACCAGUCUUUACUAUAAAAGACUGUCACUUUCCCUCUCACUUUUUGCCUUCUUUUCAUUUUCAUACACUGAUAAGCCCAUCUUGCUGUUGAAGAACCAUCAUAUAGUGACCCAGGCUUGGGACCCUCAAGCACCUGCAAGAUCCAGUAAAACUAGUUACUAACAUCUGUAGUGGCAACCCCCUCCUCACCACACACACACACACACACACACACACACACACACACACACACACAUAUACCUAAAAGAAAUUCACAGCCCCCAGGGAGGGGAGUGUGAGCCGCCAGCUCAACCCCAAGCAUUUAGGAGUAAGCAUCUAACAAUCUGAGAUAAGCCUGGACAUUCCUGAUGAGUUAAAUCCUACUAGACCUCAAGUUCCCUCUGGUCUUUAAUUCCUUUUGUGCUUAAUUACCUAGAGACCUACAAGGACCCCAGGAAGCAAGAGAGUAAAAGUACCAUCGAGUGGUGGUACCCGUUAGCAUCUUUGUGGGACUGGAAAGGAGCGCACACUCUUUAACCUAUUUAACUUGCUGCACAUCCAGGAAAACUCGCGGCCAGCUGCAAAGAAAGUAGAACACACAGGCAUCCCCACACGCAUCUAGAUUGACUCACUCAUGCUGAGGUUACGAUCAAGUUCAUGCCACCAUGGAUUCCUGCCCCAGAUCCCCGCGAAAAGUAACCACGCGUCUCCUACCCCUGUAAGCAACGAAGACAAGGUGACGACUCUGCUCGCUCAAGAGGCUUCCGUCCCAGGCCGGAGGCCAGGGAUGGGCAGGAGGGAAGCCCCAACUCCCGGCUGCUCCCCUCCUCGCUGCUCGGUCCGGGCUCUCCUUGGUGGCAGUGGACAAGCAGGAUACCGGGCCGGAGGGUGGAGCAGCGGAUGGUCGGAGGCGAGACAGACUGGAGGUGGGGGUGGAGGAGGCGGUGAGAACUAAGAGAAGAUGAGGCGAAAGGGAGCGGAGAUGGAGGAAUAAAUCAGGGGGUCUACCAGCUUGGGCAGCCAGAAAUCUCCU
rnacentral:lncRNA from 1 species